rnacentral:rRNA from 1 species
GUGUCAGCAGCCGCGGUAAUACAGAGGGUGCAAGCGUUGUUCGGAAUUAUUGGGCGUAAAGCGCGUGUAGGCGGCUUGGCAAGUCGGGUGUGAAAUCCCUCAGCUCAACUGAGGAAGUGCGCCCGAAACUGCUUAGCUUGAGUGCCGGAGAGGAUGGCGGAAUUCCCCAAGUAGAGGUGAAAUUCGUAGAUAUGGGGAGGAACACCGGUGGCGAAGGCGGCCAUCUGGACGGUAACUGACGCUGAGACGCGAAAGCGUGGGUAGCAAACAGGAUUAGAUACCCCGGUAGUCC